GUAGGUGGCAAGCGUCGUCCGGAAUUAUUGGGCGUAAAGCGCGCGCAGGCGGUCCUUUAAGUCUGGUGUGAAAGCCCACGGCUCAACCGUGGAGGGUCAUUGGAAACUGGGGGACUUGAGUACAGAAGAGGAAAGCGGAAUUCCAAGUGUAGCGGUGAAAUGCGUAGAGGUUUGGAGGAACACCAGUGGCGAAGGCGGCUUUCUGGUCUGUAACUGACGCUGAGGCGCGAAAGCGUGGGGAGCAAACAGGAUUAGAUACCCUGGUAGUCCACGCCGUAAACGAUAAAUACUAAAUAUUAAGAAAUUUCCCGCCCCCUUAGUGCUGCAGCUAACCGCAUUAAGCACUCCGCCUGGGGAGUACGGCCGCAAGGCUG
rnacentral:rRNA from 1 species